AAAAAGGUAAUUAAGGGCACUGAUAGUGGAUGCCUUGACAAUCAAUACCGAUGAAGGCCGUAGAAGUCUGCGAUAAGCCUCGGGGAUCUGACAGCGAGAUAUGAUCCGGGGAUUGCCGAAUGGGGAAACCUAAUCUGGGUCAUGCCAGAUUGUCGCUACCUGAACACAUAGGGUAGAUAAACGGGAACGGACCGAACUGAAUCAUCUUAGUAGGCCCAGGAAAAGAGAAUAACCAAUGAUUCCGAAAGUAGUGGCGAGCGAAAUUGGAUGAGCCUAAACCUUACCAUCUUAGUGGUUUAACGACCUAUGUUGAUAAGGGGUUGCGAAAUUAGAUAAUUUUUAUGUUGAGGAGCUUUAUAGCUUUUCA
rnacentral:rRNA from 1 species